UCUCAUUCAUUUACUGUACAUUUCCCAAAUUCUUCCUGUCUCUGUCGAUGUUCCUUUUCUCCAUUUCUUCACGCCAUCACCAAUACCUCUACUCCAUUCCCCACGCAACCAGGUUUGAGAGAGAUUGUGGUCUCCAUUAUCAUGUCCUAUCCUCUAAGUAUAUUUAAGUGAUUUCACCCCUGCCACUGCCGUACAAAGUCGGUUGUAUCCCAUUUUAAACCUUCACAUCUCCAUUCUCAUCUUACUCUGAAAAUGAAAAUCCAUCUAAAAUUGACAAAAAGCCUUAGUUUCGGAGGAUUUGAGGUUGAAUUUGGAAUUAUAUAUGGAGUUAUUGUGCUGAAAUCCAGUGCCGGGUCUAGAUUUUUUAUUCACACAAUUACAUGGAUGUGGAUACAAUGAAGAUAGGCCUGACAAUGAUGAAUAAUGCAGAAAAUUUAUUGGUACAAAUGGCAAGUGAGAAUAUGGGUCUGGGUGUGGAGGACCCCAAUAAGAAGGUCCUCGAAGCUGUAUACUAUAACCAAGUCUAGAGAGAGCUGGACAUAAUAGGAACACGGCAAAUUCCGCGAAAGCCCUUCAACUAUAAGUAUAUAUGUGAAGAUUUUUUUUUCUUUGUUGAAUAUAAUUGGGAAUUAAGAUUAUUUCAGCUAUUGGAUUGGUUUCUUGAAUUUUAGUUGAUUUUUGAGUUGGUUAAUGCUACUUGAUUUUGGAAUUGAAUUGAUGAUGACGAUGGAAUUAAUGUAAUAAAAGCUUG
rnacentral:lncRNA from 1 species